GGCGGCGUGCUUAACACAUGCAAGUCGAACGCGAACGGUUUCUUCGGAGACCUAGUAGAGUGGCGCACGGGUGAGUAACGCGUAAGUUAUCUACCCUCCCAUCUGGAAUAACUCACCGAAAGGUGUGCUAAUACCGGAUACGUUGAUUUAUCAAGAAAGGUGGCCUCUAUUUAUAAGCUACCGUGGGGGGAUGAGCUUGCGUACCAUUAGCUAGUUGGUAGGGUAAUGGCCUACCAAGGCAACGAUGGUUAGCGGGUCUGAGAGGAUGAUCCGCCACACUGGAACUGGAACACGGACCAGACUCCUACGGGAGGCAGCAGUGAGGAAUAUUGCGCAAUGGGGGAAACCCUGACGCAGCGACGCCGCGUGGAUGAUGAAGGCCUUUGGGUCGUAAAAUCCUGUCAGAUGGAAAGAAAUGCUAUUGGUUUAAUAUGCCUUUAGUUUGACGGUACCCAUCAAAAGGAAGCACCGGCUACCUCCGUGCCAGCAGCCGCGGUAAUACGGAGGGUGCAAGCGUUGUUCGGAAUUACUGGGCGUAAAGCGCGCGUAGGUGGCUUUUUAAGUCAGAUGUGAAAGUCCACGGCUCAACCGUGGAAGUGCAUUUGAAACUGGAAAGCUUGAGUAUUGGAGGGGGUAGUGGAAUUCCCGGUGUAGAGGUGAAAUUCGUAGAUAUCGGGAGGAAUACCAGUGGCGAAGGCGACUACCUGGCCAAAUACUGACACUGAGGUGCGAAAGCGUGGGGAGCAAACAGGAUUAGAUACCCUGGUAGUCCACGCCGUAAACGAUGUCAACUAGGUGUUGGGGAGGUUAAUCUUCUCAUUGCCGCAGCUAACGCAUUAAGUUGACCGCCUGGGGAGUACGGUCGCAAGAUUAAAACUCAAAGGAAUUGACGGGGGCCCGCACAAGCGGAGGAGCAUGUGGUUUAAUUCGAUGAUACGCGAGGAACCUUACCUGGGCUUAAAUGCUUAAUGACUUACUGGGAAACCGGUAUUUCUUCGGACAUUUUGCAAGGUGCUGCAUGGUUGUCGUCAGCUCGUGCCGUGAGGUGUCGGGUUAAGUCCCAUAACGAGCGCAACCCCUAUCGUUAGUUGCCAUCAGGUCAUGCUGGGGACUCUAACGAAACUGCCCGCGUAAGCGUGGAGGAAGGUGGGGAUGACGUCAAAUCAGCACGGCCCUUACGUCCAGGGCUACACACGUGCUACAAUGGCUGAUACAGAGGGCAGCCACUUGGUGACAAGGAGCAAAUCUCAAAAGUCGGUCUCAGUUCGGAUCGGAGUCUGCAACUCGACUCCGUGAAGUUGGAUUCGCUAGUAAUCGUAGAUCAGCAAUGCUACGGUGAAUACGUUCCCGGGCCUUGUACACAUCGCCCGUCAAACAAUGGAAGCUGGGGGUACCUAAAGUCCGUAACCGUAAGGAGCGGCCUAGGGUAAAACUAGUAACUGGUGUUAAGUCGUAACAAGGUA
rnacentral:rRNA from 1 species